rnacentral:rRNA from 1 species
UACGGGGGGGGCAAGCGUUGUUCGGAAUUACUGGGCGUAAAGGGCUCGUAGGCGGCCAACUAAGUCAGACGUGAAAUCCCUCGGCUUAACCGGGGAACUGCGUCUGAUACUGGAUGGCUUGAGUUUGGGAGAGGGAUGCGGAAUUCCAGGUGUAGCGGUGAAAUGCGUAGAUAUCAGGAGGAACACCUGUGGUGUAGACAGCUUUCUGGACCAUUGCUGACGCUGAGACACGAAAGCGUGGGUAGCAAACAGG